ensembl:lncRNA
CUGAAACACCAAAACGCAUCCUCAUCAUGCAUGAGCUUCCUUUCUCAUCGUACUUGGAUGAAAGUGUUUUUGUACAGUUGACCUUAAACACAGUUCAUGGUUUCCCCUUAAGCCAACAGAAACCCUCCUCAACUGUGACGUUGAUAGUGAUAGAGUCGGGUUCAAGGUCAACUGCACAACAAUGCUUUCACCUAAAUACCACAUGGAAGUAAAUUCUUGCACGUGAUGACACUUCAACAUGUGGGAACCUGUCUGUCAAUACACAUAUCUCAGUGCUGACUGUCUCAACUAGUCGUGCAUUACUGUUAGCAUGUAAUACAAAUCUAUCUGUUGCUUUUUGAAUCACUUGCUGUUUAGUUGAACUUGUCUGUUUUACUGUUUCUGUCUGUUUACUGUUUUACAAUGCAAUACAUUUAUCUGACAGCAGGCUUUUACUUCUUAGCCACUUGAUAUGUUUCAGACAUCUAUGAGAUGACACUGCUUCACCCAGGACAGACUCCAGCUGUGAUAAAGCAACAUUAUAAUGCUUGUGUAUGUGCCCUCUUAAUGACUGUAGUUCUGGAAGAGUUCCCACCGCUGCUGCAUUGAUACUCCAGUGGGGGGGCCUGCAGGGGAGAGCAGUGAGCUUUUCUAUCUCGAGCCACACGCCCAUAAAACAAGCCUCCACUCUGCCUAUUCUGAUCCCACAACACCGCCCUGACCCCGAUUAAUGGUCCACAUCAAUUGUCAUUGCAAGUUAAAAGAAAAGUCCCAUUGUGUCAGCGUUCAAUCCAGGUCCAGAAUGGAUGUGCAGCCACCCCUGCCUCCUCUGCCAGUAUCACUGCUCCUUGGCUCAGGUGAUGCACUCUGUCACAUGGUCUCAGGUCUAACCCUCUUAGCUUUCAAUUCUCUUUUAUUCAGUAAGAAUAUCUGGGCUACGUAACCUCUUUUUUUUUUCUGAAUGAGCUUACCGCAAAAAGCCAUCUUUACCGUACAGUCGCUUUCUAUUUGCUGUAAUGGACGGAGGUUGAUGGGAAUAUUGUCAUUGUGUAUAAAUGUCAGGUCUAAAACAGACUAAUCCAAUCUUCAAACUCGCAACUAAGCACUUCCUCUGCCAUGUCCUGCAGUGAAUAGUGUAGACACGAGACAUUAGUGAGCUGUUGUUGACUAAUGUCUUUGUACAGUCAUGACAAAAAGGAGCUGUUGUGAAAAAUGAAUGCAUACUGAACUUGGGGCUGCAUUUCCCUGAAGAUGAGACAGUCCCAAAUAAUGAUCACCUCAUGAUAUAAAAGAUAGUUUGACCUUCCAGGUAUCACACAUAUGUGGGUGUUGUUUCCCCUGAGCCAGGGGAAUAUGAGUCUUCCUGCCAGGAAGAGGAGAGGAAAUGAGUCAUGGAAAAACUAAGAAUAAGAGAACAGUUUCCCCUCACAUUGUAACGUGAUGAUGGCAGUGUUAUCAGCAAAGGAACCUGCCUGUUCGUGGGACAUUUCGAUACGGGACGAGGUGUCUGGCCCGGCCCUGAGGCUGCAUUACACAACCUCCUCUCAACCUGCACUGCAGAACUUUUCACUGAUCUCAACAGACACUCUGACAAAAGUGCUUGACUUUGCACACACACCCCGAAUCGAGAGAUAGGGAGGAGGGAGAGGCGAGGUGGGAGUAGCAGAGUCAUGGGGGGAGAGAAAGAGAAUAAGAGGGAUAUGGAAGCAGGCAGGUGAGGGAGGGGAGAUAGAGGGAGAGAGAGGUGGAAAAAGUUGUGAAAUAGCCAGAGAGGGGCAGGAAGAGGAGUCGGCUUCACUGGGGCUCAGCAGAGGAGGAACGAGAGCAGCUGCUUUUCUUCCUGUCCAUCUGUCUAAGACCACAUCUGUCCAUCUUUCUGCACGUCUCUCACCCCCUCCCCCUCCUCUCUCCUCUCCAUUCUGAUUGUCUCUCAUCCCGGCCAGCGCUGCAAUGUGGCUGUCUCUGCAGUGAAAGUGCUGGCUGGCAGAUUCUCCUUGAGUGAACCCUGACUGUGCGCAGUGAGCGCUCCACCGUUGUCCUGUCCACACUGACUCAGCUGUGCCUGCCCGCCUCCGAGUGAGUACCGGCUGCACAAGCAGGUAGGCACGACAAAACUUGAACUGUAGCCUUAGCUUCUUUACAUUCAGUGACUUGAUCAGAUGAUGGCAGGAAACUGCACACUUUUUACUGUACUACUUGUCUUUUUGUACAGACUCCAUGUGCUGUUUUAAGAUUUUGAUUGGUUUGCUUUUUCCCUC